rnacentral:rRNA from 1 species
CUAACCAUGCAGUCGAGCGGCAGCGACACAUUGAACCUUCGGGGGAUUUGUUGGGCGGCGAGCGGCGGACGGGUGAGUAAUGCCUGGGAAAUUGCCCUGAUGUGGGGGAUAACCAUUGGAAACGAUGGCUAAUACCGCAUGAUAGCUUCGGCUCAAAGAGGGGGACCUUCGGGCCUCUCGCGUCAGGAUAUGCCCAGGUGGGAUUAGCUAGUUGGUGAGGUAAGGGCUCACCAAGGCGACGAUCCCUAGCUGGUCUGAGAGGAUGAUCAGCCACACUGGAACUGAGACACGGUCCAGACUCCUACGGGAGGCAGCAGUGGGGAAUAUUGCACAAUGGGCGCAAGCCUGAUGCAGCCAUGCCGCGUGUAUGAAGAAGGCCUUCGGGUUGUAAAGUACUUUCAGCAGUGAGGAAGGAGAUAUCGUUAAUAGCGGUAUCUUUUGACGUUAGCUGCAGAAGAAGCACCGGCUAACUCCGUGCCAGCAGCCGCGGUAAUACGGAGGGUGCGAGCGUUAAUCGGAAUUACUGGGCGUAAAGCGCAUGCAGGUGGUUUGUUAAGUCAGAUGUGAAAGCCCGGGGCUCAACCUCGGAAUUGCAUUUGAAACUGGCAGGCUAGAGUACUGUAGAGGGGGGUAGAAUUUCAGGUGUAGCGGUGAAAUGCGUAGAGAUCUGAAGGAAUACCGGUGGCGAAGGCGGCCCCCUGGACAGAUACUGACACUCAGAUGCGAAAGCGUGGGGGAGCAAACAGGAUUAGAUACCCUGGGUAGUCCACGCCGUAAACGAUGUCUACUUGGAGGUUGUGGGCCUUGAGCCGUGGCUUUCGGGAGCUAACGCGUUAAGUAGACCGCCUGGGGGAGUACGGGUCGCAAGGAUUAAAACUCAAAGGAAAUUGACGGG